AUUGAACGCUGGCGGCAUGCUUUACACAUGCAAGUCGAACGGCAGCGCGGGCUUCGGCCUGGCGGCGAGUGGCGAACGGGUGAGUAAUGCAUCGGAACGUGCCCAGUAGUGGGGGGUAGCCCGGCGAAAGCCGGAUUAAUACCGCAUACGACCUGAGGGUGUAAGCGGGGGACCGAAAGGCCUCGCGCUAUUGGAGCGGCCGAUGUCGGAUUAGCUAGUUGGUGGGGUAAAGGCUUACCAAGGCGACGAUCCGUAGCUGGUCUGAGAGGACGACCAGCCACACUGGGACUGAGACACGGCCCAGACUCCUACGGGAGGCAGCAGUGGGGAAUUUUGGACAAUGGGGGCAACCCUGAUCCAGCCAUGCCGCGUGCGGGAAGAAGGCCUUCGGGUUGUAAACCGCUUUUGUUCGGGAAGAAAUCCUCUGGGCUAAUACCCCGGGGGGAUGACGGUACCGGAAGAAUAAGCACCGGCUAACUACGUG
rnacentral:rRNA from 1 species